UAUUCUUCCUAUGCGGGAAGGAUGAGAAGCUUCGACUAAGGUUCGAUUCGAGCGUUAGCGAGAAAGCGUUAGCGAGAAAGCGUUAGCGAGAAAGCGUUGCCGCAGGCAACGACCCGAAGGGCGAAGCGCGCAGCGCUGAGUAAUCCUUCCCCCACCACCA
rnacentral:sRNA from 1 species